rnacentral:rRNA from 1 species
AGUGAACGCUGGCGGUAGGCCUAACACAUGCAAGUCGAACGGCAGCACAGUAAGAGCUUGCUCUUACGGGUGGCGAGUGGCGGACGGGUGAGGAAUACAUCGGAAUCUACUUUUUCGUGUGGGUUAACGAAGGGAAACUUACGCUAAUACCGCAUACGACCUACGGGUGAAAGCAGGGGAUCUUCGGACCUUGCGCGAUUGAAUGAGCCGAUGUCGGAUUAGCUAGUUGGCGGGGUAAAGGCCCACCAAGGCGACGAUCCGUAGCUGGUCUGAGAGGAUGAUCAGCCACACUGGAACUGAGACACGGUCCAGACUCCUACGGGAGGCAGCAGUGGGGAAUAUUGGGCAAUGGGCGCAAGCCUGAUCCAGCCAUACCGCGUGGGUGAAGAAGGCCUUCGGGUUGUAAAGCCCUUUUGUUGGGAAAGAAAAGCAGCAGGUUAAUACCCCGCUGUUCUGACGGUACCCAAAGAAUAAGCACCGGCUAACUUCGUG